rnacentral:rRNA from 1 species
GAUGAACGCUGGCGGCGUGCCUAAUACAUGCAAGUCGAGCGAACGGACGAGAAGCUUGCUCCUCUGAUGUUAGCGGCGGACGGGUAAGUAACACGUGGAUAACCUACCUAUAAGACUGGGAUAACUUCGGGAAACCGGAGCUAAUACCGGAUAAUAUUUUGAACCGCAUGGUUCAAAAGUGAAAGACGGUUUUGCUGUCACUUAUAGAUGGAUCCGCGCUGCAUUAGCUAGUUGGUAAGGUAACGGCUUACCAAGGCAACGAUGCAUAGCCGACCUGAGAGGGUGAUCGGCCACACUGGAACUGAGACACGGUCCAGACUCCUACGGGAGGCAGCAGUAGGGAAUCUUCCGCAAUGGGCGAAAGCCUGACGGAGCAACGCCGCGUGAGUGAUGAAGGUCUUCGGAUCGUAAAACUCUGUUAUUAGGGAAGAACAUAUGUGUAAGUAACUGUGCACAUCUUGACGGUACCUAAUCAGAAAGCCACGGCUAACUACGUG